CAUUAUGAGUUUCUCAUUCACAAACAUGAUUCCAGUCUAGAAUGAAUUUUGCGUGUCUGUGGUUGCUCUGCACGCGGGCGUUCAAGUGUCAAAUGAUGUGGGGUGAGUUUAUUUCACUGCUUUCAAGUCUGCAGGUCCUCUUCGACCCUGGCUGCUUGGUGCUAGAAGGCAACUAAUCCUCCUCAUCAUGAUAAACUAAUCUUUAAUUCGCACGGCAUAAAUUUACGAAACGCAAGAAAGAGCUAAACAUUGACUAGGAGCAAUUUGCAAAUAAUGAAAAAUCGAUGCAAGAUACUAAUGGAGGAAAGGAAAAAAAUGGUGAACAUUGUUCUUAA